rnacentral:rRNA from 1 species
AUACGUAGGGGGCGAGCGUUGUCCGGAUUUAUUGGGCGUAAAGGGUGCGUAGGCGGCCUUGUAAGUCAGAUGUGAAAGGUACCGGCUCAACCGGUGAAGUGCAUUGGAAACUGGUAGACUUGAGUAUUGGAGAGGCAAGUGGAAUUCCUAGUGUAGCGGUGAAAUGCGUAGAUAUUAGGAGGAACACCAGUGGCGAAGGCGGCUUGCUGGACAAAUACUGACGCUGAGGUGCGAAAGCGUGGGGAGCGAACAGGAUUAGAUACCCUGGUAGUCCACGCCGCAAACGAUGAAUACUAGGUGUAGGGGGUAUCGACUCCCUCUGUGCCGCAGUUAACACAAUAAGUAUUCCGCCUGGGGAGUACGGCCGCAAGGUUGAAACUCAAAUGAAUUGGCGGGG